CACUAACACAAAUCGACAUAUACCAAUGAACAACACAAGUUAUAUAAUAAACACUUGUCAUUUAGACAGUAAUAGAAGAUGAACAGGACAAUUAUUCAAGUCCACCAGAAUGCCAGCAUCGACUAUAAGUUACCAGGAAAAUAACGGUUUUUGAUUUGCUUGCUGAAAUUCAUUUAAGCCAAGUUUUGUUUCCAUUGGUUAAAUCUUCAAUAUCUAAUGCCUGGCAUUGUGGACAGGCUAAAGAUUUGGUUAUUUCAAGUCUGAUUGAUAUCACGAACAUACAGUAGAGAUAGAAAAUAAAGCUUGGCCACAACAAUGAUCCUAAACAGGAACAAAUAUCAUAAAAGAUAACUAAAUAAGUGUCUGAGAGAUUGAUUACCAUUUGGAAAGCUUAAAUAAGACUCGUUCUCGGGAAAAGAGGAACUCUUCCAAUGUCUAGUAGUUUUCAAGUCAAAGAGUGUGCCUCAUCAAGAAAAAAAUAUGUAGGUCAAAGUUGGUUCCUUAAAGACAUUAAUGUGGUAACAUUUCACAAAAAAAUUGCAUCGAGAGUGCGUGCAAUAAAUUUUAAUCCCAUACAAGAAAAAGAUACAAACAUAAUUAACACAACCAAAUAGCCGAAAGUUUAAUGAAACGAAAGCUCAUUAAACUUUGUCAUAGGUACUACGUAUGAAACAAAAAAUUAUUAUCCAUUGCUCAUUCGUCUAUUCAAACUGUUAAACAUCCAUCAAUAUGGUAAGAUCCAUUAUUCCCACUUGACGGAAAAUUGCCAUGUGUCAAUGGAAAUAAGACGUGGCAACUUGGCGAUGUGAAUUCAUGCCAACUGAAACACACCAACUAAAAUGACACUUCCUUUGUAAAAUUGGGAAACUUACAAAGAAAGUGUCAUUUUAGUUGGCGCCCAGUUACAUGAAUUCACAUUGCCACGUCGAAUUUCUUCACAUGUGGCCAUUUCUGUUCGGUCGAGUGGGAGUAACGGAUCUUCUACCGUGAUGAAUGGGAAAUAAUUUGAAUAGAUGAGUGAGUAAUGGGUGGAGUGAGAAACUUUUUUUGUUCAACGAGUAAGUAGUAACCCAGGACAAAAUUUAAUGAGCAUUUAUCUUAUUAACUCAAAUUCGUGCACAGAAAAGGAAGGGCAUCGAUGUUCAAAUUCUGAGGCAAAUACAAUAGCUACUUCCCACUUGUGCACAAGUUCAGAAAGUUUUUCAUCCGGCUAUUCUUCAAUACUGAUUCUUUGUUCCAUUUGCGCCAUAAAGUUCCGAUUUUUAAGCAGGUUAACACCGAUUAAAAAUUAAUUUUGGUAUAAUUUCUUCACAUUGUGAAACUAAGCAAAUGCAGAAUUAAAAUGAGAGAGAGAGAGAGAGAUUAGUAAAUGGUGAAGAUGAAUGGAAAUUGAAAAUAACGAAAAGUUACUUACUCUUGAACUCCUUAGCUGUAAUAUCUGGGAAAAUAGGUAGAGAAAUUCGAGUACCCAAAUUUGUAUUGAUAAAAACUGGUGUUUCUACACUGGAAGAAACCAUUGAAGGUGCCGCAUGGAGUUCUCGAUUCUCUGUUUAUGCAUUCGGCUUCAAUCACGGACUGAAACCAGGGUAAUUUGCCGAAACAAGCAGCACAGGAAUAAAGUAGGCGAAUUAAGAAUGAUUUCUUU
rnacentral:lncRNA from 1 species